rnacentral:rRNA from 1 species
UGGGGAAUCUUGCACAAUGGGCGAAAGCCUGAUGCAGCCAUGCCGCGUGAGUGAAGAAGGCCCUAGGGUUGUAAAGCUCUUUCACCGGUGAAGAUAAUGACGGUAGCCGGAGAAGAAGCCCCGGCUAACUCCGUGCCAGCAGCCGCGGUAAUACGGAGGGGGCUAGCGUUGUCCGGAAUCACUGGGCGUAAAGCGCGCGUAGGCGGAUUGGUCAGUUGGAGGUGAAAGCCCGGGGCUCAACCCCGGAAUUGCCUUCAAUACUGCCAGUCUUGAGUUCGGGAGAGGUGAGUGGAAUUCCUAGUGUAGAGGUGAAAUUCGUAGAUAUUAGGAAGAACACCAGUGGCGAAGGCGGCUCACUGGCCCGAGACUGACGCUGAGGUGCGAAAGCGUGGGGAGCAAACAGGAUUAGAUACCCCCGUAGUCC